ensembl:snRNA U6 U6 spliceosomal RNA
GUGCUCGCUUCAGCAGCACAUAUACUAAAAUUGGAAUCAUACAGAGAAGAUUAGCAUGGCUCCUGUGCAAGGAUGAUGUGCAAAUUCAUGAAGCAUUCCAUAUUUUU